AUUGAACGCUGGCGGCGUGCUUAACACAUGCAAGUCGAGCGGUAACGCGGGGGCAACCCUGGCGACGAGCGGCGAACGGGUGCGUAAUGCAUGGGAAUCUGCCUGGUAGUGGGGAAUAACCCGGGGAAACUCGGGCUAAUGCCGCAUACGACCUACGGGUGAAAGCGGGGGACCGUAAGGCCUCGCGCUAUCAGAUGAGCCCAUGUCGGAUUAGCUAGUUGGUAGGGUAACGGCCUACCAAGGCGACGAUCCGUAGCUGGUCUGAGAGGACGGCCAGCCACACUGGGACUGAGACACGGCCCAGACUCCUACGGGAGGCAGCAGUGGGGAAUAUUGGACAAUGGGGGAAACCCUGAUCCAGCGACGCCGCGUGUGUGAAGAAGGCCUGCGGGUUGUAAAGCACUUUCGGUAGGAACGAAAUAUGCCGGGCCAAUACCCCGGCAGGCUGACGUUACCUAAUGAAGAAGCACCGGCUAACUCUGUG
rnacentral:rRNA from 1 species